AUACUCACUUCAGCAGCACAUAUACUAAAAUUGGAAAGAUGCAGAGAUUAGCGUGGCCCCUGUGCAAGGAUGAUACUCAAGUUAGUGAAACGUUCCAUUUUUUU